UUGGGUUAAGUCCCGCAACGAGCGCAAUCCACGUUUUUAGUUGCCAGCAUUGAGUUGGGCACUCUAGAGAGACUGCCGGUGACAAACCGGAGGAAGGUGUGGAUGACGUCAAGUCAGCAUGCCCCUUACGUUCUGGGCUACACACGUACUACAAUGCUUCGGACAAAGGGCAGCGAGCGCGCGAGUGCAAGCCAAUCCCAUAAACCGAGGCUCAGUUCAGAUUGCAGGCUGCAACUCGCCUGCAUGAAGGCGGAAUCGCUAGUAAUCGCAGGUCAGCAUACUGCGGUGAAUACGUUCCCGGGCCUUGUACACACCGCCCGUCACACCAUGGGAGUUGGCCACGCCCGAAGUCGUUACUCCAACCGUUCGCGGAGGAGGAUGCCGAAGGCAGGGCUGAUGACUGGGGUGAAGUCGUAACAAGGUAACCA
rnacentral:rRNA from 1 species